rnacentral:pre_miRNA from 1 species
GGGGGGAGCCCUGGAUCCUGUUAUGUGUCCCCUGUGCCCUGGGUUCCGAGGCCUGCGCUGCUGGAAUCACGCUCCCGGCCAUGCAGCCCCCU